GCCGGCAUGGCAUAGUGGUUUGGGUGUGGAAUUAUGACUCUGGAGACCAGGGUUUGAUUCCCUGCUUGGCCA